UAUAAAUUCGCGGACUGAAUAAAUACGGACUCUGUUUUUAGAGACAGCGGAGAAUCAACAGAUAUUUUCGCCUGCGAUCGCUCGUCCUCUUCUCACCAAAAUUAGGGUUUCUUUCUCCUCAGCCUUACAAUCGAUUGGAUUUGUGGGUUUAAAGGCAUUGAGAUUGCGGGGGCUUCGGAUUGGGAGAAUAAAUUUUGGAUUUUGUGGUCCUUCUGAGCAUGCCGACUUCUUGGUCUGAUUCUGUUGAGAGAGCUUCUGCUGCUGGUGGUGUUCUAACAGGUUCUCGUCCUCCUCAAUCUGUUUAUGUUCCACCUCAUCUAAGGAAUAGACCACCUUCGUCAGAUCCAGUUUACCACUCUGGUCCUGCAUUGGCCAAUGAUGCCCAGGGAACUUUUGGCCCUCCUGUUGCUGAAAUACAGUCAGCUGGUUAUAGGAGAGAUCGAAGUGGAGCUAGUGGCAACCGUGGUUCUGGGGGUUGGAAUAGCAACAGAAACAGUGGCUGGGAUCGUGGAAGGGAAAGAGAGGCCAAUCCUUUUCAAGAUGAUGCUGAUGCAGAACUAGAGUUUGAAACACAUGAAAAUACAGGAAUCAAUUUUGAUGCUUAUGAGGAUAUUCCUGUGGAGACAAGUGGGAAGGAUGUUCCAUUGCCAGUGAAUACUUUUGCGGAAAUUGAUUUAGGUGAUUCAUUAAAUGAAAAUAUUAGGAGGUGCAAAUACGUGAAGCCCACACCUGUGCAACGGCAUGCAAUACCAAUAGCACUUGCUGGGAGAGAUUUGAUGGCCUGUGCACAGACUGGAUCUGGAAAGACGGCAGCAUUUUGUUUUCCAAUAAUUAGUGGAAUUAUGAAAAGCAACGACUCUUACCUGAGACCGCGAGUGCCACGCACAGCAUUUCCGGUUGCUCUCAUUCUUGCCCCAACUAGGGAGCUUUCAAUUCAAAUUCAUGAAGAAGCUCGGAAAUUUGCCUAUCAAACUGGAGUUCGGGUGGUGGUUGCUUAUGGUGGUGCUUCAAUCGUUCAACAGCUUCGAGAUCUUGAAAAGGGUGUGGAUAUACUUGUUGCAACCCCUGGGCGGUUGGUGGACUUGUUGGAAAGAGCCAAGGUUUCAUUGCAAAUGAUUAGGUACUUAGCCCUUGAUGAGGCAGAUAGAAUGUUGGACAUGGGUUUUGAACCUCAGAUAAGGAGAAUUGUUCAAAAGAUGGACAUGCCUUCUCCUGGUCGAAGACAAACAUUGCUAUUCAGUGCCACAUUUCCAAAAGAAAUUCAGAGUCUGGCUGCAGAUUUUAUGGCAGAUUAUGUCUUUCUAGCUGUUGGAAGAGUUGGCUCGAGUACUGACUUGAUUGUCCAAAGAGUCGAGUAUGUGCUUGAGACAGAUAAAAGAAGUCACCUCAUGGACCUCCUUCAUGCGCAGAGAGGGAACGGUAUUCCUGCAAAGCAAGCUCUUACACUGGUUUUUGUGGAGACUAAGAAAGGCGCUGAUUCACUUGAACAUUGGCUCUCCAUGAGUGGUUUUCCUGCUACUUCUAUUCAUGGUGACAGAACACAGCAGGAGCGAGAAUAUGCCUUGAGAUCUUUCAAGACCGGCAAGACUCCAAUCCUCGUUGCAACUGACGUGGCAGCAAGGGGCCUGGACAUUCCCCAUGUUGCCCAUGUUGUAAACUUUGAUCUUCCUAAUGAUAUCGACGAUUACGUCCAUCGCAUUGGACGCACUGGGCGAGCUGGCAAAACAGGCCUGGCAACUGCAUUCUUCAACGACAACAAUUCCUCACUGGCCAAGUCUCUUGCAGACCUGAUGCAAGAAUCAAACCAAGAGGUACCCGCGUGGUUGCUGCGCUUUGCAGCCCGAUCUUCACAUGGGAAGGGCCGCCGCGGGGGAGGCUCUGGAGGAAGAUUCGGUGGCCGUGAUUUCCGAAGAGAUUCAUCCUACAAUAGAGGUGGAAUGGACUUCCAUGGUGGCGGUGGAUACAAUGGUGGAUACAAUGGCGGAUACAAUGGUGGAUACGGUGGGGGCAGCAUGAGCAGUGGGUACAACAAUGGUGGAUACGCCGGAGGCUAUGGCCCUCCUGUGACGAGCGCGUGGGACUGACUAAUCAACCGACCGACUGAUUGCUCUUCCUCUUCGGCCUGUUCUUGAUUGCGAUCAUCAUCGUAUUUUGAAAAGCACGAGCAAGUUGGAGGGCUUUGGCAGAGCAGGGUGGGACAUCCUGGAAAUCCUCGACGGGGAACUUCUGGGAGAGAGCUCCGACACGAAACUCGAUCAUCUCACCAUCGACGGCAAUGGCGGUGACCGACACCCAGAGGAAGAGCUUCUUCGCCUGAAUUCCAGAAACCUCGGUGACUUUUCCUAACCCUAGUUUUCCUGUAAUGAUUUUGUCGUAGUAGACGAGAUUGGCGUCGAAGUGGACGUAGCAGGGGUGGGAGCUGAGCUCCACUCUGAAGGAGCCGUCGGAUGGGGAGAGGGAGUAGGAUUUGAUGUCCAUUGGAAGAAGACCUUUGGGGAGGUUGAACAAUGGGAGCAGGUCGUGCACGUCUUCCACCUCCCCCAUGGACGCUUCUGUCGAGAGGAUGCAGAUGCAGAUCAACGCCGUCACUGCUGAUCGGAAAGAAGAAGACAAAGAAGAGGAAGAGGAAGAGGAAGAAGAAGAAGCCAUUGCAGGGGCAAAAUCCUCGAGCGGGAUUCACUAAACUGUCUCUGUACUUGAGCUAUAUAAAUCUGAAGGGGAUCGGGAUUAUACGACGUCGUUUCCAUGAUUUACAAAUUAAUUUUAUUUAUUUAUUUAUGAGAUUCGAUUAUGUUUCAACUUUCUAUAUGUUUUCGAUUAAUUAGAUGAAACCAAAUUGAAUAAUAUAGAGUAUCUUGUA